rnacentral:rRNA from 1 species
UACGGAGGGGGCGAGCGUUAUUCGGAAUUAUUGGGCGUAAAGGGCGCGUAGGCGGCCUGGUAAGUCAAAGGUGAAAUCCCUCGGCUCAACCGAGGAAUUGCCUUUGAAACUACCUGGCUUGAGGCCGGGAGGGGGUAGCGGAAUUCCCAGUGUAGCGGUGAAAUGCGUAGAUACUGGGAGGAACACCGGUGGCGAAGGCGGCUACCUGGACCGGUUCUGACGCUGAUGCGCGAAAGCGUGGGGAGCAAAC